rnacentral:rRNA from 1 species
GAUGAACGCUGGCGGCGUGCCUAAUACAUGCAAGUCGAGCGAACGGACGAGAAGCUUGCUUCUCUGAUGUUAGCGGCGGACGGGUGAGUAAAAUGUGGAUAACCUACCUAUAAGACUGGGAUUAAUUCGGGAAACCGGAGCUAAAUCCCGCAUAUAUCUUGAACCGCAAGGUUCAAAAGUGCAAGACGGCCUUCCUUACACUUAUACAAGGUCUCGUGCUGCAUUAGCUGGUUGGUAAGGUAACGGCUUACCAAGGCAACGAUGCAUAGCCGACCUGAGAGGGUGAUCGGCCACACUGGAACUGAGACACGGUCCAGACUCCUACGGGAGGCAGCAGUAGGGAAUCUUCCGCAAUGGGCGAAAGCCUGACGGAGCAACGCCGCGUGAGUGAUGAAGGUCUUCGGAUCGUAAAACUCUGUUAUUAGGGAAGAACAUGUGUGUGAGUAACUGUGCACAUCUUGACGGUACCUAAUCAGAAAGCCACGGCUAACUACGUG